GGAGGGCAAGUCUGGUGCCAGCAGCCGCGGUAAUUCCAGCUCCAAAAGUGUAUAUUUAAGUUGUUGCGGUUGAAAAGCUCGUAGUUGGAUAUAGGGACAGUCAGGUCGGUCGGUCGAAAGGCCAGCACUGGCUUGGUUGUCCUAUGAGGUCGGCGCCUUCGCGGUGCUCUUAACUGAGUGUUGCGGCGGUCCGGCAAGUUUACCUUGAAAAAAUUAGAGUGUUCAAAGCAGGCUUUACGCUUGUAUAAUGUUGCAUGGAAUAAUGGAAUAGGACCUCGGUUCUAUUUUGUUGGUUUUCGGAGCACGAGGUAAUGAUUAAUAGGAACGGACGGGGGCAUCCGUACUGUGCCGUUAGAGGUGAAAUUCUUGGAUCGGCGCAAGACGAACGACUGCGAAAGCAUUUGCCAAGAAUGUUUUCUUUAAUCAAGAGCGAAAGUCAGAGGUUCGAAGACGAUCAGAUACCGUCCUAGUUCUGACCUUAAACGAUGCCGACUAGCGAUCGGGCAGUGUCGAAUAUAAGAACUGUCCGGCAGCUUCCGGGAAACCAAAGUGUUUGGGUUCCGGGGGAAGUAUGGUUGCAAAGCUGAAACUUAAAGGAAUUGACGGAAGGGCACCACCAGGAGUGGAGCCUGCGGCUUAAUUUGACUCAACACGGGAAAUCUCACCCGGCCCGGACACAGCGAGGAUUGACAGAUUGAGAGCUCUUUCUUGAUUCUGUGGGUGGUGGUGCAUGGCCGUUCUUAGUUGGUGGAGCGAUUUGUCUGGUUAAUUCCGAUAACGAACGAGACUCUUACCUGCUAAAUAGCUGCUCGACCUUUUACGGUCGGAGACAACUUCUUAGAGGGACUAGUGGCGUUUAGCCACACGAGAUUGAGCAAUAACAGGUCUGUGAUGCCCUUAGAUGUUCGGGGCCGCACGCGCGCUACACUGACCGGAUCAUCGUGUGUUCCCUAGGCCGAAAGGUCCGGGUAAUCCGUUGAACCCCGGUCGUGCUAGGGAUAGGGACUUGCAAUUGUUUCCCUUGAACGAGGAAUUCCCAGUAAGCGCGAGUCAUUAGCUUGCGUUGAUUACGUCCCUGCCCUUUGUACACACCGCCCGUC
rnacentral:rRNA from 1 species